ensembl:snoRNA SNORD33 Small nucleolar RNA Z195/SNORD33/SNORD32 family
AUUGCCAGUGAUGAGGACUUCUCCCACUUGUGUUUGAGUUCCUCAACCAUGAGAUGAUCCCACAUGCCUCCCUCUUGCCCCAGUUAAA